UUUUUUUUUUUUUUUUUUUUUUUUUGGUCUUUUUGCCAUUCUAGGGCCACUCACACGGCAUAUGGAGGUUCCCAGGCUAGGGGUUGAAUCGGAGCUGUAGUCGCCAGCCUACACCAGAGCCACAGCAAUGCGGGAUCCGAGCCACGUCUGCAACCUACACCACAGCUCACGGCAACACCAGAUCCUUAACCCACUGAGCAAGGCCAGGGAUCGAACGCGCAACCUCAUGGUUCCUAGUCAGAUUCAUUAACCACUGAGCCAUGACGGGGACUCCGAGUUUUCAUUUCUAAAAUAAUUUUUAAAUGUUAUUUCAGAUCUUAUGUCAUUUUCUUAAGGUCUUUAGCUGAAUUUGAAAUAAUGUACUAUAGUUUUGAUAGCUUUCUGAGCCCAUCUCCCUGACAUGCCUUUAUUCUCUGAGGAGUUACUCUUUUGUUCCUAAUUUUUUUUAAUAGUAACUUUGUAUAAAAUGCUACCUGCAUGCCUACCACAACAGAGGGGCUCUUCCUCAAAGAGGAGAGAGACCUCAUAUGGGGGCUCUUUUGCAAAGAGUGAAUUCUUAGGUAAAUUUGCCUUUCCUACAUUUUUAGAAGGAAGAUUGGCUUAUUUAGCUUUUCUUACUUAACAGUAUUCCUUCUUCUGUUGUUUCACCUGAUGUUAAAAGAAAAUAUGGUGGCUUUCUUUCUGAGGUUUCCUGUUUCCCCUCCCCUCCUAUACUUUUAUCUGGAUCACAUCUUUCCUUUAUGUCUCUACCUUCUAUCUGCUUGAUUUUGAUUUCACUCCCGGUAGUGGGCUCACUGGAGGAGCUCAUUGACAGUUCAUAGGGGUCAGGCAGCUCCAGCCUCUUCACUUCAGAUGUUCAAACACUGAUCCUUCCAUACUCCUACUGUUAGAGUGAACAAAAUGCUCCCAAUUUUAGCUGCUGUUCUCAAGUGUCUGUGCUUUCCAGUGGAUUCUUGUUGGAUGCUUUUGUGUCUCAGGUCCAUCAGAUGCCCUGUUGCCUCCCUCUGCUUUCUUCAGCACAAAUUCCAAUAAUUCACGUGCCUUGUGGCUAUUGGUGGUUUUGUCCAUUGACUUGUAUUUUGGGACUUCAUGGGAAUACUUUGUCACUUGGUUUUUUUCUCUGUUUCUUGUUUGUAUUCUUUUUUUUUUUUUUUUUUUUUUUUUUUUUUUGUCUUUUUUUGCCUUUUCUUGGGCCACUCCCGCGGCAUAAGGAGGUUCCCAGGCUAGGGAUCGAAUCGGAGCUGUAGCUGCCGGCCUACGCCAGAGCCACAGCAACGCAGGAUCCAAGCCACGUCUGCAACCUGCACCACAGCUCACAGCAACGCUGGAUCCUUAACCCACUGAGCAAGGCCAGGGAUCAAACCUGAAACCUCAUGGUUCCUAGUCGUAUUCGUUAACCACUGAGCCACGACGGGAACUCCUGUUUGUUUGUAUUCUGUGGGGGCACUGGGAAGAUAUCAUUGCUACUGCUCUCCUCCUGGAAUCCCCCAGCAGGAUUUUAAGCUGGUGGAAGGCCAGGCUCAUGGUUGACUCUCCAGCAGCACUUCACUGUUCAUGUAUAACAUGGACUUGAUAAAUGUUGUGGAAUGAAGUGAAACUGCCUACCUCGGGAUCGGAACCCUAUCCCACAAACAGUACUUUUGGUAACUCAUCCUGUUUCCAAAGAGACCUACUGUUCCUUGGGAUGCCAGGCACAGAGGGUCUGGUCCUGGUGCUGGAAGAGGUCACCCUCUAGUGGGAGGACAGUGUCUUUCUGCUGCCAGUUACAUGGAGAUAAUGAGUUGCAAAUGUUGAAUUGGCUUUUGGAGUUCACAGCCUGCCACUUUGAACCACGACCAGCAUGGAAAGUGAUUGGGCAAGCUUGUGACUCCUGGUGCCUUUGUCUAUUAAAGCACUUUAUAUAGCGAUGACUUAUCUGCUUCUUUGCCUAAGCUCCUAAUUAAAGCUGUUUUCAACCCAAUAAAGAGCCUCACCCCACCUAAUAGAGUUGGGCAACUCCUUGGUGGCCUCUGCCUUUGUCCUCUUAGGCUCCAUGGUCUGGGUUAAGAUCCUACACCUUCAGCAGGGCCACCCUCUGAAACAUUUAAUGAGGAGAAGAAUAUUGUUUCUUGGAGAUGUAAUUGCAAGAGAGAGUGCAACCUUCUCUGAGAUAACAAGCAUUUUGAGAUGCAAUGCUUUGGGGAAGAUUUAGCCCAGGUCAACGACUGCCCUAGCUGUCAUGAUUCCUCUUAAUGAUGCCGUGCUUCCGUUUGGCAGAAAGACUCUGGGGUCUCUUUCUAAAGUUCAUUAAACUUUUGUCUGAGAGACUUGUACUUGGGACUUGUGGUUCUGUGUCUUUUCUUACAGCUUUUCAGGCUGUUACUACAGUUUGCUGAUUGUGGCUGUGGGCACAACUGUGAAAUAGGUACCUUGCCCUUUGAAGCCCCCAGCACUGCCAGACCAUAUAGACUCAAUGCUGCGGGUACAAAAGCCUGUGCUUUUUAUUAGGGUUCCUGAAGACUGGAAACUGGGUGCAGAACCGCUGCUGAGAGACACACUUGAGGACUCAUAGUUUUUCUAUCUUCUCAGGAGCCCAACCUGUCUUUCUCAAAAGUUACAUGUGAAAGAUUUUUAUUUGGCACUUAGCUUUAAUGUACAUAGGAAGCCAUCUACUUGAAGUAACUCUUCAGAAAACCACUUUGUGAAGUGGUUACAACUUUGGUAAUUUGAAAAACGUCUCCCUAAUUUAUCUGUCUUAAAAAUUUCAACUUUUUAACAUCACACUGUCAUCUUUCAAGGCGUAGCUGUGUUUUUUUCUUUUGCUUUUCUUCCCACUGCCUCCCUUUUAUUUCCUGGGAAGGGAAUUGAUUUCCUUCACAUGCGAUAGAGGGUUUUUCUUUCCCUCGUUGCCUGUGUCUUUGUUUCACUGUGUCAGAAUCUUUCAUUUGUAAGGAAACAGAGGGAGAACCUUAAACUUGGAGUGAGAGAGCCUAGCGAUCCCAUCCAGCUUUUUCCUAAGUUAAUGUGAGCUUUAGACAAGCUAGGUAACCUCCCUGAGCCUUAGUUUAUUCACCUAUAAAAUGGGUAUAAAAAAUCCCUCUAUCAUUUUGUUGCCACAAGAUUAAUUUUAAUAAUACUAUGUGUAUAAAGCACUUGGUACCUGACACAAUGUAGGUAAGGUCUGAUUUGGGAGCUCUCCUCCCAAUGAAAAUGUGACCUCUUGCCAAUGACCUCUUGCCAAAAUACUUUGUGAUAUUUGUUCUCACCCCUCCCUGCCCCCCAUGGGGGGGAAAUACUGUGCUUGUUAUAUCACCAACCACAAAAUGUGAAGUGGUUACAACUUUGGUAAUUUGAAAAAUGUUUCCCAUCCCUGUUUCCUUCUGCACUGUCCAGGAUGUGUUUCUCUAUACAAAUAUAUCUAGGGCCACUAAAACAAACCAGAAAUACCCACCCUCAGUGGUCCAUAAGCAAAGAUAACCCAAGCCAAACACGUGGGUGUGGCUCUUUAACAAUGUGGUGGGGGGAAGGGUCACUGCGACAUCUCUCGGCCCCACUCCCAUUUCUGAGUUUUUCAUACCUCAACUGUUUCCUCUUCAUACACAAGAUGGGCUUUUUUUUUUUUAUAGACACGACUCCUAGUCAAGCAGUCCAGGCCCCUUAGACUCAGAGAAGCCCCUUCUGUCUCCUCCCCCACCACGUGUCCCAAGGGGAGAGUGGUCUCAGAUGGGACCUUUGUGCAAAAUGUUGCUUGAGAGGCUGGAAAAUCAAACUCCUGCAUGCCAGGCUGAUCCCCCUCCUGGCCUCCUAGCCUUGCUUUUCCCUCCUGUUCCAUGUUCAAACACAGUUGCCUCCACCAACCUAGGCUGUCCUGACAGACCCCCACCCUUCCUGGCCCCUAGAUCUUUUGUUCUUCUGUCCCAGCCACUGCCCCCUCCCCCACCCCAGUACACUCAGCUUCACUGCUGCUUAAAUGUCAUUUUUGAAACAACAGAAGGACAUGCUGUUUUUUUGCGGCAUCUUGGGGGAAAAAAAUUUUUUUUUGAUCCAUUUGGUGUUAAGAGCACGCACAAGAAAUGUAUUCAGGGACCCUCGCCAGCCUCUUUCACUGGUGUGGUUCACAUUUUGUGGUUGGUGAUCUAACAAGCACAGUAUUUCCCGCCCAGAAAUGUCCGGUCUCCUAUCAUCUGCAUCCGUCUUCCUUAGAUUUCUUUGUCUUCCAGGUAAUUCUGUAUUCAAAGCACCACAGUUCCGGAUUUAUUUCCAAGCUGGGGAAUCCAUCCUGAUAAAGCCCCUUCUCAGGGAUUUGAACCAGUUCUCCGGAGAAACUGGGAACAUGGCCAAGUCCAGCUUAAUUCUCUGGGCCACAAUGGAGGGAGAGGCUUGAGAGCCUUUGUCCCCCCCACACCUCCCAUUGACCCACGUGGCCAAUGUAAAGCAUUAGAGGAAUCUAUCAGUCUCUUGUGUCAGGACCUCUCUUCCAGAAGGGAACAGUAUGUCUCCUCAGGAAACUAGGAACUCCAAAUCCCUUGGUUCUUUAUCUCUCUGUCCUCCAGGCCCUCCCACAACUGUGAUGAUGUACAUUCACUCCUUAUUAAUCCCCUUAGAUGGAAAGUUCUUGAGGGCAGGAUCCGCGUCUGACGCAUCUUCUUGUCCCCCGGUGCCUAGAGCUUGCAGGUGGUCCAUGGCUGCUGACAGCAAGAACACACACCCUCAUCCAUUCAAGUUUGUGUGAGAGGGGAGGCAGGGAGCAGUGCCCACCAGCCCCAGACCUCUUCCUGGCGAUGCUCUGCUGGAGAAAUGGUACACACGGGCUCAUAGCAGUAUUUUCAUUUUAAAACCCAGAGACCCUUUGCUCAUUACUGAAGGUCCAGAUGAGUAAUUAAGUUAUAAAUUGGAAUUUUAAUGAGCUGGCGUUCUGGCCAAAACACCUGCUUGCAGUCUGGUGACCAGAUUAUCCCCGCCCCCUUUGAGUGAUUCACAGUUGCUGAGACUGGUGCUCUGGAGUUAGUAGUUGUCAUCCAUAGACACCCAAAGCAGGAUCUUUGCUGCCUUUCAGGGUCAUCAAAGCAAGCUCCUCUGCCUGCCCCAGGGGAGCCUUAGUGCAAGAGUGGUUUGAGGGUUACUGUCAAGUCUCAGGAUCUUACCUGGCGGACCUCAUCCGGGUUCCUCGGCUGGGGUGGCCUGUCCACUGUAGGCACCCGGAACCCCACAAGAGAAUUGUGGGCCACUUAACAGAUACUUCCCUGCUUACCUUCCAGCCAUUGUACAAAUUCAGAGGAAAUGAGAAAUAGUUCCGUUCACACAUUAAACCCCCCCCCCCGGCCCCGCCCAAUAGUUCUUGUUCUAAUACCUUGUGUUGACAUUCCACUGGACUGGACUUUUGACAGUUUGAGGUUUGCAGCCUGAGGGGCCUUCUUGAAAAGUGCCCUGUGUCUUCCCUGACUUCGAAUAGACCUUUGUUGGUGGGGGACUCUGGGCAGAGUUCAGAGCCUCUGAGGACAGGCACCCAGGACACAAUCCAUACCACCUAGAAUCUAAUCCAAGUGCCCUGUAGACCCUCCAUCCCUCCGACUUUGUUUGGGGAAGUUCCCUGGAUGUAGAAACCUUGUGUUGUCCAUUUAGCGUGUGGGUCUUUCCUAACUGUGCAUCCUAGUCCUUCCUUCGCGGAACAUCAUUCAUCGAGCCUGUCUUAAAACUCAGCUUAGAGGCGGGCUGCUUAUGUAACAUUGCUCUUGGCACCUCUGUGAAGGAACAUGUUUGAGCUUCUCUUUAUCUGCUUUUCCCUCACCUUUGAAUUCCUCAUGGAGGCUGAGCUUUGCCAAACAGACAGCAGUGGAGCAAAAUUAGAAGCUUCUCGCUGGGCCGGCUUCUAAGGACCUUCCUGGUUUUCUAAGAAGCAAC
rnacentral:lncRNA from 1 species